CCUACGGGUAGCAGCAGUGAGGAAUAUUGGUCAAUGUACGAGAGUCUGAACCAGCCAAGUAGCGUGAAGGAUGACUGCCCUAUGGGUUGUAAACUUCUUUUAUAUGGGAAUAAAACGUUCCACGUGUGGGAUUUUGUAUGUACCAUAUGAAUAAGGAUCGGCUAACUCCGUGCCAGCAGCCGCGGUAAUACGGAUGAUGCGAGCGUUAUAAGGAUUUAUUGGGUUUAAAGGGAGCGUAGGUGGAUUGUUAAGUCAGUUGUGAAAGUUUGCGGCUCAACCGUAAAAUUGCAGUUGAAACUGGCAGUCUUGAGUACAGUAGAGGUGGGCGGAAUUCGUGGUGUAGCGGUGAAAUGCUUAGAGAUCACGAAGAACUCCGAUUGCGAAGGCAGUUCACUGGACUGCAACUGACACUGAGGCUCGAAAGUGUGGGUAUCAAACAGGAUUAGAUACCCGUGUAGUC
rnacentral:rRNA from 1 species